UUUAUUGAAUCUUUAAGAAUUACUUUUAUAUUAAUCAUGUUGGUUUUCCAACUAUGACGAUAAACGAAUUUCGUAAUAACCAUUGCGGACGUGGGGGCAGUACCCACCACCUCCACCAUAUACAACUUAUGGGGGUGAACUAGAUUCGACGGGUGACUAAAGGCUAUUCUUUCGUUCGGAAUUGUACCUCCGCAAAGGGCUAUUUAUAAUUGCUAACGAAAGUUACGCACUUGCUGCCUAAUUAACUUUGUUAAUUAAGCAAACGGGGUUUUGGGGCACCUGGCAACAGAACGCCCCUGUU
rnacentral:tmRNA from 1 species